GAGAAGAAGGCAAAGUCAGGGGUUUCUCUCUCUCUCUCUCUCUCUCUCUCUGUGUGUGUGUGUGUGUGAGAGAGAGAGAGAGAGAGAGAGAGAGAGAGAAUCCGCCUCUUGCAAGAUUUU
rnacentral:miRNA from 1 species